rnacentral:rRNA from 1 species
AUAGCGUAUAUUAAAGUUGUUGCAGUUAAAAAGCUCGUAGUUGGAUUUUGGGAUAAGCUAGUUGGUCCGGCGCAAGCUGAGAACUGAUGGGCAUAUCCUUCCUCUCGAAAGCGGCAUGUGCGCUUAACUGAGUGUGUGUCGUGUUCGGGACUUUUACUGUGAAAAAAUUAGAGUGUUCAAAGCAGGCUAUCGCUUGAAUAUUUCAGCAUGGAAUAAUGGAAUAGGACGUUGGUUCUAUUUUGUUGGUUUCUGGGACCGAAGUAAUGAUUAAUAGGGAUAGUUGGGGGCAUUAGUAUUUAAUUGCUAGAGGUGAAAUUCUUGGAUUUACUGAAGACUAACUACUG